GCCAAGAAAGUCUUCGCAAAAAGGUCCGUCCACGAACAACCGCUAGGCAGGCGGUACUAAGCUCCUGGAGCGGUACUACCGCUGACCAGGGGCGGUACUACCGCUAGCACUCCAGCAGUACUACCGCUAGGGCUAGCGGUACUACCGCUGGGGACUAUUUUGCAAGGAGGAAAGAAACACAGUGGCGGGGGCCGCUCCAAAGAUGAAGGUAAGGGAAAAUAUGUGAAG
rnacentral:lncRNA from 1 species